GCUUACGGCCAUACCACCCUGAACGCGCCCGAUCUUGUCCGAUCUCGGAAGCUAAGCAGGGUCCGGCCUGGUUAGUACUUGGAUGGGAGACCGCCUGGGAAUACCAGGUGCUGUAAGCC
rnacentral:rRNA from 15 species